UUUGGCCAAAGGGCGACUGUGCUGCGCUGGUGCUGCCCUGCAAAAGAUAAAGAGAUGUUUGAAAAAAUGCCUUUCCAAAGCAAGGCAGCUCUCAGAGUGUAAUUCACGUGCAUUGUUUGAGCCUGGGAAGGGUUUAACUCCAUGAUUUCCUCGGAGGGUCCCUCAAAGCAGGCAGGAUGCUGAGGAGUCCUUCUGGUGUUGGCACAAACCAGGCAAGGACACAGUUCCAGCUCCCCCUCCUCUGCCAGUGUCCCAGAGCUCCCAGCCAGCCUGGAAGGGAGGAGCUGCUGCCCAGCAAAGGUGAGUGCCAGGAGCAGCCAGGGAAGGAUUUGUUGUGCCACUGGAUGCCACCACGUCCCACCAUCACAAUAUCGUGUCCCCUUCUGGGGACAGCCUCGC